ACUGCUGUUAAAAGAAAUCUUUUCACAAUUUCAUAAGGAAAAAACCAGUAAUUAGUUGUAAAAUUUUCUCGAAAUUUCUCUCCGGUUUGUGAAGGACCUUAUCAGCGGAGCCAUGGAGUCGCCGGGGGAUCGGCGGUGCAAGAAAAACGACGGCGCAAAGUGGCGGUGCAGCAAGACGGCGGCGGUUAAUAGAUCGUACUGCGAGGAUCACGUGGCGCAGAUGGAGAAGCGCAGAAAGAGAAUUCGGAGAGAGAAAGAGGUCACCAUGUCGACGAAGAAGACGAUGGCAACGGCGAAAGAGAGGAGAAUAAGUGCCAGCGAUGGAACCGAUAACGAACCGAGUGAGUCCGAGUCGGAACGGAUCUUGGUGAGUCAGCUGAAGAAAGGAAAGCGACUGGUUCGCGAUCGUGAUAAAGAAGAAGCUAAAUCUCGAAAAUCGGUGAAAUCCGAUGAAGAAGAGGGAAAUUCCACGGAAAAGUUUUUGUGUCAGGAUACUAAAUGCAAUAAGAGGAAGGAGAAUGGGAGUUUGAUGUGUCAUCAAUGUCAGAGGAAUGACAAGAGUGGGGUUGUUCACUGUGCCAAAUGUGGAAGGAAGCGUUAUUGUUUUGAGUGUAUUGAAAGAUGGUACCCUGGAAAGAGAAGGGAGGAAAUUCAGACUUCAUGCCCAUUUUGUUGUGGAAACUGCAAUUGCAAAGCUUGCUUGAGGGAGAUUCCGGUUUUCAAGCCUUAUUCUAAGGAAAUUGAUGCGAGUGCGAAAUUACAGAGGCUGAAGUAUUUGCUAUAUAAAGCUCUGCCUGUUCUUAGGCAUAUCUACAGGGAUCAGAGUUCUGAAUUAGAUAUUGAAGCUAAAAUAAAAGGUUCUGGUGUUGAAGUGACAGAAAAUGAGGUAGAGAGAAUUAAACUGGACAAAAGUGAGCGUUUGUAUUGUGACAAUUGUAGUACAUCGAUUGUUGGUUUCUUUAGAAGCUGCACCAAUCCCAGUUGUUCUUAUGAUCUGUGUCUCGCUUGUUGUCAAGAGCUGAGGGAAGAUCGCCAACCAGGAGGUAACGAAGCAGAAACAUCUCGCCAAAAGUUUGUAGAAAGAGCUCAUGCUCAAGCGAGUGACAGUGAGAAGGUUCCUAGUGCACGAAAGAAAAGAUCUGGGUGGGAGAAGCAAGUCAACCAUGAUGCUGAUGAUGUUUGUAAUGAAAUGUAUGAUCACUUUCCUGAUUGGAAGGCAAACACUGACGGUAGCAUCCCUUGCCCUCCAAAAGGACGUGGAGGUUGUGGAACUGCUUUACUAGAACUAAGACGCAUUUAUAAAGCUAAGUGGGUGAAGAAUUUGUUAGAAACUGCAGAGGAACUUACUAGGAAUUUCCAGUUGCAAGACAUUAAUUUUUUGGAAGGAUGUUCUCAUUGCCAGCCAAAUGCUUCUGGGGAGAAAAAAAAUAUACAGUCUGAAGUGAGACUGGCAGCUUUCAGAGAAAAUGGAUAUGAUAACUUCCUAUAUUGCCCGAGUGCCAUUGACAUUGAUGAGAAUGAUAAUGAGCAUUUUCAGAUGCACUGGAUGAAGGGAGAGCCUGUGAUUGUCAGAAAUGUUCUUGACAAAACAUCUGGUCUUAGCUGGGAACCUAUGGUCAUGUGGAGGGCUUUUAGAGAAACAGGUGCAAAUGUUAAAUUCAAAGAGGAGACGAGAAGUGUAAGGGCCAUUGAUUGCCUUGAUUGGUGUGAGGUUGAGAUCAAUAUUCACCAAUUUUUCAUGGGCUACUUAGAAGGCCGUAUGCAUAAAGGAGGGUGGCCAGAGAUGUUGAAGUUGAAGGAUUGGCCAUCAUCAACUCUCUUUGAGGAGCGUUUGCCGAGGCAUGGUGCAGAAUUUUUUGCGGCACUCCCCUAUGGAGACUAUACUGAUCCAAAAUCAGGCCUGCUCAAUCUUGCUACAAGACUUCCCGACGACUCAUUGAAACCUGAUUUGGGACCCAAAACAUAUAUUGCAUAUGGCUUCCCUAAAGAGCUUGGUAGAGGUGACUCAGUCACAAAGCUUCAUUGUGACAUGUCUGAUGCGGUGAACGUUAUGACACACACAACUAAGGUGGAGAUUGCUCCCUGGCAGAGAAAGAGAAUUGAAGAAAAGCAGAAAAAACAUGCAGUUGACGACCUGCGUGAACUCUAUGGUGGACAUAGGAAUGGACUUGAAGCACAACAAGGACGUGCUCAAUCUUCUAGUGAUACGUUGAUGGGAGUGCUCAAUGUGCAAGAUACUUUAGAGGUUUCUGGGGUGCUCAAUGUGCAAGAUACUUUAGAGGUUUCUUGCUCAGAACAUGGAAUUCAUGAUCUAGGCUCAAGAGACUCAACCCUUAACUUGAGAAAGAAUUCUCUUGAAACCAGCGAAGAUGUUGUCUAUGGUGGUGCUGUUUGGGACAUCUUUCGCAGGCAGGAUGUUCCUAAAUUAAUUGAAUACUUGGAAAAACACAAAAAGGAAUUUCGCCAUAUUGACACCCUCCCAAUUAACUCGGUGGUUCAUCCUAUACAAGAUCAGACUCUUUUCUUGAAUGAGAUACAUAAGAAACAGCUGAAGGAGGAGUUUAAUGUGGAACCCUGGACGUUUGAGCAAUACCUCGGUGAGGCUGUUUUUAUUCCUGCAGGAUGUCCUCAUCAAGUCAGGAAUAGACAAUCUUGCAUAAAGGUAGCACUCGACUUUGUAUCUCCUGACAAUGUUGAAGAGUGCAUUCGACUAACAGACGAAAACCGUUUGCUACCAAAGGACCAUAGAGCAAAGGAAGACAAAUUAGAGGUGAGAAAGAUUACACUUUAUGCUGUUAGUUGGGCUGCGAAAGAAGUCAAAAAACUAAGGACGGAGCUCAAAAUUGGAGCAGAGCCCCUAGUCAAGCUUGGCGGGCUGGUCUAGACAAAGAAGGGACAAUUGGACAACGUUUAGAGCUUCAUGACAAUACUAUAUCCGUAGUCACUUCUUGUCAGCAAUAAUCGGGAACCGGCUUGGCUUGUUCUUGCCGGUCGUUUUGGGAUGACAACACCAGCAAUUGACUCCAUCUCUCCAGUGAUUUGGAAUUACAAUGUGAAGGCUUUUUGGUGGGUUUGGCUUUUGGUGAAAAGCUCUCAGAAAAUGUCACAUCUCAGCUCGAAUUGAAAACUCGAAUCCGCAAAGUGAACGAGACCGCUUCCACAUGAUUUGGGUUCAUAGGGGAACUCUGUGAGAGAGGAAAUUUAGAAUUCAAACUCUUUUGUGAGAUAAAACAACACUGUAGCAGAAUCAUAAUUUGAGUUUGAAUAUACUUUUUAAACAAGCCUUAAUAGUCUCAUCUAGUUUUGGGGACAAAUAAUCCUACAAUACAUGGGACUAUUUCUGGUCAAAGGAUAGCUUAUUUGAUCAAGAUGUGUGCCCAAACGUAGGAUUACGGUGAAUAAUCCCAAUCCCAGUGCGGCCAAACAAGGACCAAGUCUACACCAGAGAAGGGAUAGUGUGGAAAAAAAUGUUCAGAUCUAAGCUUCAAGGCCUGUGUAGAUGUUGGAUAUAUCAAAAACAGUCGAUCAACAUCUUGAUAUUGCAUGCUACUAGGAGUAAAUUUGAUGGAUCUGGAGAAGAUACCACUUGUAGGACAAUUUAAGUGGUGAGACCUGUGACAUAUGGAACUAGUGAGUUAGACAAUAUCCACGCAAAUGUCAAUGUCAAUGCUACGUUUGUCAAGAAAAGUGUAUAAAUAAUAUAUUUGAUGUGCUAUUCUGUUUUGUG